CCUUCAAAACCUCUUCAAGAGACCUUCUCUAAGGACCUACCUGACUGUGUGGUCUGCUCCUCUCUGCUGCUUUGCUCUGGCUCUCAGGUGCUGACUCAGAACGGAUCAUCUCCCCGAGCUAAGCACAACACACACACACACACACACACACACACACACACACACACACACACAUUGUGGUGGUCAAGGUGGCAAUCUGAUGGAGCAGUCUGGGUUUGGAGGUUGCCAGGAGAACGCUACAUUUCGGACUGCAUUGUGCCCAGUGUGACAUUUGGUGGAGGAGGAAUUAUGGUGUGGGGUGGUUUUUCAGGAGUUAGUUCCAGUGAAAGGAACUUUGAAUGCUCCAGGAUACCAAAAUAUUUGUAUUUUUUCCAUGCUCCCAACCUGGUGGGAACAGUUUAGAGCGGGCCCCUUCCUCUUCCAACAUGACUGUGCACAAAGCAAGGUCCAUAAAGACAUGGAUGACAUAGUCUGGUGUGGAUGAGUCCUGACCUGAACCUCAUAGAACACCUUUUUGAUGAAUUAGAACGGAGACUUUUCAUUUAUAUGUUUGAUUAAUUGUCAACAUUCCAUGUGGCGGCCACGUCACCAGUUUGAAUUUUCCCUCUUUGGUGUUGCUUCCUGUCCCGCGCUCUUCUUUUGGCGCCACUUCCUGUUGUGUUGGUGUUUUUUCCUGACCACUUCACACGUCUUUCCCUGAGCACUGAUGCACACACCUGUGCUUUCUGUUAGCAAUCACUUCUAUUUGGGUGUGAGCCGCCAUUCUUUGUUUGGAGUGUGCACACUCUUUUCCUCCCGCCGUGAGUUUUGCUGUGUUCCAGCAUUCCGUUUUGUUGUUUUGCAGUUUGGUUUUUGCAUAACCUUGCCUGUGCUUCACUGUCCUCCUAGCCACAUGAAAUACUUUUACCUGCACCUCUGCAUCUUGGGAACACGCCCGGAAUCGCCAUCAUGCGACGCAGGCCCCUCUCCAUUCCAUACCUGGACCUGGCGCCAGCCGCCGUGUGAUCUGAUGUACAGAUGUCCGCCGCUCUCAGACACGUAGGCCAGGGUUCCCUCUGCAGCCCUCUGGGUCUCUCUGGUCAGAGCAUGGACUGUCUUGUAGGCGCUCACCUGGGCAGAGGCCGGGCCCAAAGGAGAAAACCUGGAGGUG